UCGAUGAUUUAAAAUAGAAGACUCGCCUCAUUGGCAUGGGGCCUGCUCUAAGGUAGGCCAGCUAAAAGCGACAUUGCAAAAUGUGGAAUGUGAGAGUGGCAGGGUUAAAACCUGACUCUGUAAAUUUAUCAAUAUUGAGG
ncrna:Polynucleobacter asymbioticus strain Tro8F10W22 chromosome, complete genome